UUUUAGUGGCGGACGGGUGAGUAACGCGUGGGUAACCUGCCUCACACUGGGGGAUAACACUUAGAAAUAGGUGCUAAUACCGCAUAAGCGCACGGGACUGCAUGGUCUUGUGUGAAAAACUCCGGUGGUGUGAGAUGGACCCGCGUCUGAUUAGCUGGUUGGCGGGGUAACGGCCCACCAAGGCGACGAUCAGUAGCCGGCCUGAGAGGGUGGACGGCCACAUUGGGACUGAGACACGGCCCGAACUCCUACGGGAGGCAGCAG
rnacentral:rRNA from 1 species